rnacentral:rRNA from 1 species
UACGAAGGUGGCAAGCGUUACUCGGAAUGACUAGGCGUAAAGGGCAGGUAGGUGGCUUGGCAAGUCUGUUGUGAAAGCUCCUGGCUUAACUGGGAGAGGUCAACAGAUACUGUUGAGCUUGAGUAUGGGAGAGGGUACUGGAAUUCCCGGAGUAGCGGUGAAAUGCGUAGAUAUCGGGAGGAACACCGAUGGCGAAAGCAGGUACCUGGACCAUUACUGACACUCAGCUGCGAAAGCUAGGGGAGCAAACAGG